UAGGGAAUCUUCGGCAAUGGACGGAAGUCUGACCGAGCAACGCCGCGUGAGUGAAGAAGGUUUUCGGAUCGUAAAGCUCUGUUGUAAGAGAAGAACGAGUGUGAGAGUGGAAAGUUCACACUGUGACGGUAUCUUACCAGAAAGGGACGGCUAACUACGUGCCAGCAGCCGCGGUAAUACGUAGGUCCCGAGCGUUGUCCGGAUUUAUUGGGCGUAAAGCGAGCGCAGGCGGUUAGAUAAGUCUGAAGUUAAAGGCUGUGGCUUAACCAUAGUACGCUUUGGAAACUGUUUAACUUGAGUGCAAGAGGGGAGAGUGAAAUUCCAUGUGUAGCGGUGAAAUGCGUAGAUAUAUGGAGGAACGCCGGUGGCGAAAGCGGCUCUCUGGCUUGUAACUGACGCUGAGGCUCGAAAGCGUGGGGAGCAAACAGGAUUAGAUACCCUGGUAGUCCACGCCGUAAACGAUGAGUGCUAGGUGUUAGACCCUUUCCGGGGUUUAGUGCCGCAGCUAACGCAUUAAGCACUCCGCCUGGGGAGUACGACCGCAAGGUUG
rnacentral:rRNA from 1 species